UGGGGAAUAUUGCACAAUGGGGGAAACCCUGAUGCAGCGACGCCGCGUGAGCGAUGAAGGCUUUCGAGUCGUAAAGCUUUGUCCGAUGGGAAGAUAACGACGGUACCAUAGAAGAAAGCUCCGGCUAAUUACGCGCCAGAAGCCGCGGUAAUACGUAAGGGGCGAGCGUUGUCCGGAAUUAUUGGGCGUAAAGAGUGCGUAGGCGGCAAAUUAAGUCAGAUGUGAAAACUAAGGGCUCAACCCAUAGAUUGCAUCUGAAACUGAUAUGCUUGAGUGAAGGAGAGGGAAGUGGAAUUCCUAGUGUAGCGGUGGAAUGCGUAGAUAUUAGGAGGAAUACCGGUGGCGAAGGCGACUUUCUGGACUUGAACUGACGCUGAGGCACGAAAGCGUAGGGAGCAAACAGG
rnacentral:rRNA from 1 species